rnacentral:rRNA from 1 species
GACGAACGCUGGCGGCGUGCCUAAUACAUGCAAGUCGAACGCAGUGGGGACGGGUGAGUAACACGUGGCUAACCUCCCAUCAGAGGGGAUAACCCUUGGCAACAGGUGCUAAACCGAUACUGAUGGAUGGACUCGCGGGGCAGUCGCUGGUUGGUGAGGUAACGGCUCACCAAGGCCACGAUGCAUAGCCGACCUGAGAGGAGGAUCGGCCACACGGGGACUGAGACACGGCCCAGACGCCUACGGGAGGCAGCAGUAGGGAAUCUUCGGCAAUGGGCGAAAGUCUGACCGAGCAACGCCGCGUGAGUGAAGAAGGUUUUCGGAUCGUAAAACUCUGUUGUUAGAGAAGCGGUAUCUAACCAGAAAGCCACGGCUAACUACGUGCCAGCAGCCGCGGUAAUAC